UACAGAGGUCCCAAGCGUUGUUCGGAUUCACUGGGCGUAAAGGGCGCGCAGGUGGUCGGGUAAGUCUGACGUGAAAUCCCGCAGCUUAACUGCGGAAUGGCAUUGGAUACUAUUCGGCUAGAGGGUUGGAGGGGGGACUGGAAUUCUCGGUGUAGCAGUGAAAUGCGUAGAUAUCGAGAGGAACACCAGUGGCGAAGGCGAGUCCCUGGACAACUCCUGACGCUGAGGCACGAAAGCGUGGGGAGCAAACAGG
rnacentral:rRNA from 1 species